rnacentral:rRNA from 1 species
AGAGUUUGAUCAUGGCUCAGGAUGAACGCUAGCGACAGGCUUAACACAUGCAAGUCGAGGGGCAGCGGGGAGUAGCAAUACUUCGCCGGCGACCGGCGCACGGGUGAGUAACACGUGUGCAACCAACCCCGUACCGGGAGAUAACCCGCGGAAACGUGGACUAACAUCCCAUAAGACUCUAGAGCCGCAUGGCUUUGGAUUUAAAAUUCCGGCGGUACGGGACGGGCACGCGCGACAUUAGGUAGUUGGCGGGGUAAGGGCCCACCAAGCCG